UGGGGAAUUUUCCGCAAUGGGCGCAAGCCUGACGGAGCAAUACCGCGUGAGGGAGGAAGGCCUUUGGGUUGUAAACCUCUUUUCUUAAGGAAGAAGAACUGACGGUACUUAAGGAAUCAGCAUCGGCUAACUCCGUGCCAGCAGCCGCGGUAAUACGGAGGAUGCAAGCGUUAUCCGGAAUAAUUGGGCGUAAAGCGUUCGUAGGUGGUUUUGUAAGUCUGCUGUUAAAGCGUGUAGCUCAACUACAUAAUGGCGGUGGAAACUACAAGACUUGAGUGCGUUCGGGGUAGAGGGAAUUCCUGGUGUAGCGGUGAAAUGCGUAGAGAUCAGGAAGAACACCGGUGGCGAAGGCGCUCUACUAGGCCGCAACUGACACUGAGGGACGAAAGCUAGGGGAGCGAAUGGGAUUAGAUACCCGCGUAGUCC
rnacentral:rRNA from 1 species